AUGCAAAUAAUGUGCAUGGGCAGCUGGAGGUGUCACUCUAUCAGGUGGGUCCCACUCUCUCCUCUGUUACCAGCUGGGUCACUCCCACCUGCCUGCACGCUGCUAUUCUCCAUUUCCCAUCCACACUGGCCAUCACCACUACCUACAUGUCAUAAUAGCAAGGGAGGUAAACACAUGUCAUGGCAGACAGUGUCUAUCUCUGCUCAGCCUCAGGAGAUGAGCUUCAUGAGUCCAAGCAUUGCCAGAGCUGGACUCAUCCUCUUGAAAAGGGGCUCUAGAAGGGGAGGACAAGUGAAACUAGGAGCACCAGCAGCUCGUGCAGAAUGGUGGCAAAGACCACAGGACCUGGGGCCAUACCUACAUGGCUGGAAUCCUGUCUUCUCAACUUCCCAGCGGUGUGAUCCUGGGCAAGUUCUCUGUGAAGUAGCAAUUAGAUGUUGUGAAGUCACAGUUAACCUCUCUGCAUAGUCACAAUGAAUCAAUUGCAAAUGUUUUGGUGUAUUUGUCAAAUGUUUUGCUCUGUAUUAGGAACAGAAUUAAUAUUAGAUGCAUGUAAAUCCGGAACCAUGUCUGUGUUUAAGUGCUUAAUUAUUGUUUCUGAAAGGUCCACUGUGAGUGUCUAGAACAGUUAUAGUUAAUAGCUUUGCUAAAUUGAGAAUGUUUAGGGAUGUCUACAUCCUGGAUCCUGUUCUAGGUCUUUCUCAAUUUUUUUAAGUUUGUUUGUUUAUUUGUUUAUUUAGAGAGAGUAUGCACGUGCACGCAUAUGAGCAGGGGAGGGGCAGAGAGAGAGGGGAGAAGAGAGAAUAUCAGGCAGGCUCCCUGCUGUCAGUGUGGAACCCAGUGUGUGGCUUGAUCUCAUGAAGCGUGAGAUCAUGUAGGUCUUCUCAAUUUAAGAAUCUUAAGAAGUCAAAAAAAAAAAAAAAGAAUCUUAAGAAAUCAGAAUUGUCUUCCUAACCUCAUCCUGUGCCCACCUUACCCCAAGCAGACACUCUCUCGACUCUAUAAUCCUGAGGACAGAGACCUGGGUAGAACUUGAUCUAAGCCAUAUCCCAGUGUCCAGCCCAGGGCCUCAAAAAGAAAUGUGUAUUAAAGAUUAAUGCAGUGGUAUCUCUAGAAUUUUGAUAUAAAAAUGACUCAGAGGUGAUCAUCUGGUUGGGAUUGAAGAUGAGAGUUUGGAUUGAAAUUGCAUUUGCUGUAGGAAAUAAUGGUGAUCAAAGAGAUGUAGCUAAUGUUCCCUCAUGCCAGCCCUUGAAAUUACCAAUGAAUGAAUAUGUGAAUGAAUGAAUAAUAUAUGAAUACAUGAGUGAAUGAGAAUAGCAGCGCUACAGCUCUCUGUCUCAGUAGACACCACCACUGGGAUAGAAUCUCCAACCAAUGGAGGAGGAAUUUCAAAACGAGAUCUGAGAUGGACUAAUCUGAUGUAAACUGAGUAUUAAUAUAUCUUCUUUACCUGCUGACACCCCUCACGUGGAGAAUUCUGCGUUAUAAUAAUUAUACAAGAGAUGCAUGCAAUGCCCUUGUAGGAAGCCAAACAAAUUGAAUACAGCCUUUUCCUGUUAAAAACAAAAUUCAACUAUGUAAAUUUGAAGAUUUAAUUGGCUUUAUUAAAAGAUUCAUGAAUUGGGGACAUCCCAGCUAAGAAGUAGAGGGGAGCUCCAAGGAACUGUAGAAAAGUGGAACGUUUGUGGGGCACCUGGGUGCCUAAGUCAGUUAAGGGUCUGACCUCUGAUUUCAGUUCAGGUCAUGAUCUCAUGGUUUGUGGGAUCAAUCCCCACAUCAGGCUCUGUGCUAUCAGAACCUGGGAUUCUUUCUUUCCCUCUUUCUCUGCACCUUUCACAAUAAAUAAACAUUAAAAAAAAGUUUCUUUAAAAAA
rnacentral:lncRNA from 1 species